GACGAACGCUGGCGGCGUGCUUAACACAUGCAAGUCGAACGGAAAGGCCCUGCUUGCCGGGUACUCGAGUGGCGAACGGGUGAGUAACACGUGGGUGAUCUGCCCUGCACUUCGGGAUAAGCCUGGGAAACUGGGUCUAAUACCGGAUAGGAGCCAUUUUUAGUGUGAUGGUUGGAAAGUUUUUUCGGUGUAGGAUGAGCUCGCGGCCUAUCAGCUUGUUGGUGGGGUAAUGGCCUACCAAGGCGGCGACGGGUAGCCGGCCUGAGAGGGUGGACGGCCACAUUGGGACGGAGAUACGGCCCAGACUCCUACGGGAGGCAGCAGCGGGGAAUAUUGCACAAUGGGCGCAAGCCUGAUGCAGCGACGCCGCGUGGGGGAUGACGGCCUUCGGGUUGUAAACUCCUUUCGCUAGGGACGAAGCUUUCUGUGACGGUACCUAGAUAAGAAGCACCGGCUAACUACGUG
rnacentral:rRNA from 1 species